GUGCAGCAGUCGAGAAACUUUACAAUGUGCGAAAGCACGAUAAGGGAACUCUGAGUGCCUCCUAAGGAGGCUGUUCAGGUGUCUAAAAGCACCUGAAGGAAGGGCUGGGUAAGACCGGUGCCAGCCGCCGCGGUAACACCGGCAGCCCAAGUGGUAGCCACGUUUAUUGGGUCUAAAGCGUCCGUAGCCGGCUGGGUAAGUUCCUUGGGAAAUUUGGCUGCUUAACAGUCAAGCUUUCAGGGAAUACUGCCCGGCUUGGGACCGGGAGAGGUCAGAGGUACUCCAGGGGUAGGGGUGAAAUCCAUUAAUCCUUGGGGGACCACCGGUAGCGAAGGCGUCUGACCAGACCGGGUCCGACGGUGAGGGACGAAGGCUAGGGGCGCGAACCGGAUUA
rnacentral:rRNA from 1 species